rnacentral:rRNA from 1 species
AGUGAACGCUGGCGGCGUGCCUAAUACAUGCAAGUCGAACGGAGUGGCGCACGGGUGAGUAAUAUAUAGCUAAUUUGCCCCUUGCUGGAGGACAACCGAUAGAAAUGACUGCUAAUACCCCAUAGCCAGGGAUGAGACUAUAUCGUAUCAGCUAGUCGGUGGGGUAACGGCGUACUGAGGCUAUGACGCGUAACUGGUCUGAGAGGAUGAUCAGUCGCAUUGGAACUGAGACAGGAGGCAAAAUCCUACUGGAGGCAGCAGUAGGGAAUAUUGCGCAAUGGGGGAGUCCCAGACGCAGCACAGCCGCGUAGAGGAUGAAACUGUUCGGGGAGUAUAGGAUGGUUGAUACGAAAACGGUACCUAACGAAGAAGCACCGGCUAACUCCGUGCCAGCAGCCGCGGUAAUAC